rnacentral:rRNA from 1 species
AUGGGUACGUACUGUGGUCAUGAGCUAUGUGUGGUAUGCCAUGGUAGAGCUGAUUUUGUGUUUCUUGAAGGUUUGUCGGGCGCUACGAAUUUAGAGUUGACAGCUGAAUACUUUAUGUACUUCCAUGGACUAGUUUUCUUUCUCAAGCACUCACCGAUUCUAGAGAGGCUUACCCUUGAACACUCUACUUUAUCUAAGCAAUGGUAUGGUGACACGACUGAAACCUGCAAGCCAAAGGACAAAUUCUUGGUAUCAAAACAUCUCAAGGCAGUCGAAAUCAAUCAUGUGAAAGAUGAUAAAAGGAUUCACCUAUUAUUGAAGGUCCUUGCUUUCCAUGGAGUAUAUUCGGAACUAAUAAACUUUAAAGAGAAGUAUACUUCUUAA